CUUCUGCCGGAGCUUCCGCUGUUAAAUCCACUUCAAGAGGCAACUAGAAGGAAAGAAGAAAAACAAAUUCCUUCAACUGGCUCUUGCCCUCCGCUGCUUCUCCCUGACUCACAGAUUGCGAUUCCUGGAAAAUCGCAUUUGACAUCCUCCAUCCAUCACGCCUUCUAGGUCCUGUAACUCCAUGAGCAGGAGGAGCCAAACAAUUUCAUGUUCUGUGUUAGUGAAGUUUUGAUAAAAAGGAAUCCUUCUUUGGUUUUGACUUAGGGCAGAUGUUCUGUAAAAUCGCAUUUGAAUCUUUCCUGGGCUGCUGGGUCUGUCUUUGCUGCCUCCUUGUCCUUUUUCCACGGAAAUGAGCACACACAGUCUCUGUGGAGGUCUGUACCUUCCCAACCCUUUCUGCCAGGGCCACCCCUGCAAAUCGCGCUCGUCACUGAGGGAGCCUCGGGCACGCUGUGGCAUCACGAAGAACCCUUCAAACGACAGAGGGAAGAACCCUUGGGAGGCACGGACGCCGGCUGCCAGCCAAGGCUGCAAGGAAUCUUCCAGAACGGGGCUGCUCUGCAUCUCAUCAACAUGAGAAGGGACAGUCCUGUGCUGCGUGGCACAGGGCAAAUGGUUUCAUUUCCACACGGAUUCCUACAGAAAUCCAGAACAUUUUUACUUGGGAAAACAUCUCUCAAUUCAUAAAACUGAUGCUGAUGGAAUAAUUGUUUGAAUAUGAGGGAUUAAGAUGAUUACAUUUUGACCUGAAAAUGAAAAUUAUAGUGCAGAUUUCAUGUCUACAUUGAAAGAUAAAUGAGUAGUUUAAAAAGAAAUGAGCUUUGGCCAGGCACGUUGACUCAUGCCUGUAAUCCCAGCACUUUGGCAAGCCGAAGCAGAUCACUUGAGUCCAGGGGUUCAAGACCAGCCUGGCCAAAAUGGCAAAAAUACAAAAAUACAAAAAAAAAAAAUCGAAGGAACUCCUGAGUAACAGCCUGUCUCUACUAAAAAUACAAAAAAAAAAAAAAAAAAAUUAGCUGGGCAUGGUGGCACACACCAACAAUCCCAGCUACUCGGGAGGCUGAGGCAGGGAGAAUCACUUAAACCUGGGAGACAGAGGUUGCAGUGGGCGGAGAUCGCACCACCGCACUCCAGCCUGGGCGACAGAGCAAGACUGUGUCUCAAAAAAAAGAAACGAGCUUUGAAAAAUAUGAAAGACUGGCGAUACCAAGUGCUGUCAAAGAUACAGAACAAUUGGAACUUACGCAAUGCCACGUGGGGUGUGAAUUAAUACAACCAUACAGGAAAACGGGAAGAACCUACUAAAACUAAACACGUACCUAUCUUCUCCCCCAAUAAUUCCCAACAAAAAUGAGUGCAACUGUACAGCAAAAGAAUGCUAACAGCAUCUCUAAUCGAAACAGCCACAAGCUACAAAAACCAAAAUGUCUACUAAGAAAAGACUAGAAAAAUAAAUUGCCACAUACUCAUGCAAAAGAAAAUUAUACAGCAAUGAAACUGCUGCUCGUACCAUGAAUGAAUCUCACAACCAUGCUGAAUUCAAGUAAGAUACAAAGAGUUCAAACUGUAGGAUUCCAAAAAAGUACAUAACAAUAAAAACAAAUUGGUGGCUUUCUUUGUUUUUUGUUUUGUUUUUUGAGAGAGGGUCUCGCUCUGUGGCCCAGGCUGGAGUGCAGUGGCGUAAUCACAGCUCACUGCAGCCUGGGCCUCCUAGGCUCAAAUGAUUCUCCCAGCCCAGCCUCCCAAGCAGCUGGGACUACAGGCGCCACCACCAGGCCCAGCUAAUUUUUAUUUUUAUUUUUAUUUUUAUUUCGUACAGACAGGGUCCCACUAUGUUGUCCUGGCUGGUCUCCAACUCUUGGGCUCAAGCAAUCCUUCUUCCUUGGCCUCUCAAGUGGUGGGAUUACAGGAGUGAGCCACCACACCCGGCCAAUCUGUGUUGUUAAAAGCGGUUUGCUCAGAGUGGGAAGGAGGGCAGGGGAUGGCAGUGACUGCAAGGAACACAGCUGGGCCUUCUCGGUACUGGCAGUGUCUUGAUUCAGAUGUUGGCUGUGUGGAUGUGUUUGGUUGGAAAAUUCAUCAAGCUGAGCAUGGAUGAUACGUGCACUCGUCUAACCUGUCUAUAUGUUCUUUUUCAUACUUCGGUCAAUUUUCUUAAAAUAUGAACUGUACAAUUCCACUUACAGUACAAUUCCAUUUGUGAACUUUACAUAUAUAAAGUUCAAAAACAGGAAAAAAUAAUCCAUGGAAGUCAGAAUAGAAGACAGGAUAGUAGUUACUUUUGAAAAAAGGAAAGCAAGGCAGUGACUGGAAGAGGGCAAAAUGGGGCUUCUGGGCUGCUGGUAAAGGUCUGAUUCUCUAUCUGGGAGGUGAACAGCUGUGCUCACUUAGGAAAUGGUGGCUCAUGCCUGUAAUCCCAACACUUUGGGAGGCUGAGGCAGGUGGAUCACUUGAGGUCAGGAGUUUGAGAUCACCCUGGCCAACAUGGCGAAACCCCAUUUCUACUAAAAGUAUAAAAAUUAGCCGGGCAUGGUGGCGGGCGCCUGUAAUCCCAGUUACUUGGGAGGCUGAGGCUGGAGAAUCGCUUGAACCCACGAGGCAGAGGUUGCAGUGAUCACAACAUUGCACUCCAGCCUCGGUGACAAGAGUGAAAUUCCGUCUCAACAACAAAAAAAGAGAAAUUUGGGGCCAGGCUCAGUGGCUCACACCUGUAAUCCCAGAACUUUGGGAGGCCAAGGCAGGUGGAUUGAUCACUUGAGCCCAGGAGUUUGAGACCAGCCUGGCCAACACAGCAAAACCCCGCUCUACUAAAAAAUACGAAACAUUAGUUGGGUGUGGUGGUGGGCGCCUGUAGUCCCAGCUACUCAGGAGGCUGAG
rnacentral:lncRNA from 1 species